GGUCAGACAUACGGGACCCGCACACAAAAUGGUCGAGCUUUCACUGGAAAUGGAAGAUUUCUGAUCUGUGUGACCAAAGAUUAGCCCGUGUUUGUGCAGAUUAACAUUGUAGAGUCGGACCUGCGUGAUGCUGACCUGAGGCAACCCGACAAACCGGGCAACUGACCCUGAGGGACCCCACGGACACAGCAGCUCAAGCCGAAAGAAAAACAAAUCAGCUGGCCGACCAACACUGCUAUCGAAGAGCCAAAACCAGACUUGCUUCAACUACUCACAGCCUCUCGUGUCCUGCUGAGACACCCCUGGAGGUCUCCCAAGACUGGAAGCCAUGGUAGAUCCUUCCUGAAGCCUUCUCCACAUCGCAGCUGUUAUCCUCCUCCAUCACUCCCAUCCCACUUCUAGUAUAAUCAAUAAACAAUUAUAUUCACACCUCAGUUGAUGGUCCUUGUCUGUCAAAUAUUACAGCAGUGAUACAAGUUAACAGCUCUGGAUGGAGCUGCGUGUAACCACACAAGACUUUUACGCACCCUGUCCAUCUCUGAGUCAUAUAUUUGGGUUAAAAACUCCUUUUUCUCGGCAAUGUUCAGCUGCAGGUGAU